CAGCACACUUUGCCUGAGAAGGCUUUGUCAAUUAGCCUACUUAAGGUAAUUUUUUACAUCACUGCUCUCAAAUGUAAAUUUUAAGGCCUAUUUUAUUCUAAAUAAAAUGUGUUAGUUACAAUCUUGAUAUUACAGACAACGAAUUCUUACAGGCAGAGCUUCACCACUAGAUGACAGUGUUAAACUGUAUGGCAGGAUAAGGCGCAGACGUGGCUAGUUCAGCUACGUGUAACCCUGUAUAAGCGGAGGACUUAUCAGUGGAGGGGGUGGAACUCACACCAAUGAGGCAUGACCCCAAUGAGAAACCGAUUGGCCAGCUAGACAAGAUCAAUCUUCCAGAAUCAAUUUUGAGGAAAGAACAAUGUUUCUUGUCGGCGUGUACGCAUGUGCAGCGGCGCAGGGUGAGGCCGAGAGCUGUGGGAGAGGAACAAGUCCCAUGGAGGAGCUCCAGAAGGAUAAAAGAAGGAGUGAUGACAAUGAAAGGCAAGAGAGGAUCAGGCCUGGGACUUUACGUUUAUGUGGCAGUUGGCCAUGAGGGGUCAGCACGUGAGAUUUAUGUGAUGAGACUGGUCCGUGUGCACUUCCUCCCUUCUCUGGCCUUGUCAGAUCUGGUUGCAGACAGAGGGCAAAAACAUUUGUCAUCCGUGUGAGAUUCUCACCACAGGCUUUCAUCUGCUUUAACAUAAUAUGGAUGCAUGGGCAUAGCAUUUGUAUGCUGGCUGAUGUAAAACCAUUAUUUGCCAUUAACCAUCAGACAAAAAUGAUUUGGAUGUUUUUGCUUAUAGUCUAAUAAUAAGUGUGAGGCAGUAGUAAUGUAUGUAGAGGGUUGUCUUAGUUGACAUAAAAUUAUAAGCACUGUAAUGUGACACUAUAGUUCGUCUUAAGAGUUUUUAAACAAUUUUCAGAUACUUGUGUAUUUAUGACCUCUUUUUGAGGAUCGUGUUUGGGUGAGCUGUAGCUGUGUUGGUUUUAUAAUCAAAGUCACAUUUGAGUCAUGCAUCUCGGUUCACCCUUUCACCCACAAUUCAUCAUCUCAUUCCGACCGAUAUACGAUAUCUAAUUUAUUUAUAUUUUUCUAAUACUUGUGUAAUUAUUAUUAUGACCUCAUUUUUGAGGAUACUUUGAAGAUUUGUACUUUAAAAAAUAAAAAAAAAAAAAUAAAUAAAAAAAAAAAAAAAUCAGACUACAGGAAUUAGCUGUAAGAAAAGAUAAAAUAAAGUUAAAUUAAAUUAAAUAGAAUAAAAAUGUAAUCAAAUGGUGACCAGUUUAAGUACUAGUAAAAUAAAAUAAAAUAAAAUACAUUUGUCACAAUCCUGGGGUAUUUAAGAAAGCUAAAAGAAAAAAUAAAUAAAUAAAAUAAAAUAAAACUCAUUUAUUUUAUUAAAAUUGAAUUGCAUUUGUCACAAUGCUGGGCUAUUUAAAUGAACAAGGAAGCUAACAGACAGACAGACAGACAAACAAACAAUAAAUAAUAAAUAAAUAAUAAUAAUAAAUAUAAAAUUAAAAAUAAAAUAUAAAAUAAAAUGCAUUCGUCAAAUGUUGGUCUAUUUAACUGAACAAGAAAGCUAAAAUAAAAUAAAAUAAUAAAAAUAAAAAAAAAUUAAAAUUGAAUUGCAUUUGUCACAAUGCUGGGCUAUUUAAUUGAACAAGAAAGAUAAAAGACAAAAAAAUACAUAUAUAAAAUACAUUAAAAUAAAAUAAAAUAAGUUGAAUUGAAUUAAAUUAAAUAAAAAAAAAUAAUUAAAUGAUGAUCAGUUAAAGUACUUACAGAUGAAAAUACAACAACACAAAAUAAUAAAAUAAAAUAAAAUAAAAUAAAUUGAAUUAAACUGAAUGAAAUUCUAGCCAGUUACAGUACUUGCAGGUUAAAAUAAAAUAAAAUAAAAUAAAAUAAUGCAUUUGUCAUAAUGCUGGGCUAUUUAAGUGACCAAGAAAGCUAAAUAUAAAAUAAAAUAAAAAUAAAACUCAUUUAUUUUAUUAAAAUUGAAUUGCAUUUGUCACAAUACUGGGCUAUUUUAACAAAAAAAUAAAUAAAUAAAAUAAAAUAAAAUAAAUUUUGUUGAAUUUAAUUCAUUUAAUUGAAUUAAAUUAUGACCAGUACUUUACAGAUGAAAAUAAAAUAAAUUGAAUUGAACUGAAUUAAAUGAUGACCAGUUACAGUACUUGCAGAUUAACAUUAAAAUAAUAAAAUAAAAUAAAACAAAAUAAAAUGGUUACCAGUUACAGUACCUACUUUACACUUUCAUAUUUUUAACUAAACCCUUAACAUUGAGGGAAAACAAUGUGAAAAUGUCCAUGUUUAAUUUGUCAAAUACUCCUUCACAGCAAUUAAAUAUGUAGUUUUAAAAUGUCAUCCAUUGCUACUGUUUUUACUCUGUGUUUUCCAUUGGGAUUUCUGGGGUUAGUGUAAAGGGUGGGAACAACGGAGUAUUCCGGUGGGAAGACAAUUCCUGUAGGACAGGUCCUUCUCACUAAGAAAUCUGACUCAGGUGUCAACUGGAGUCAUGUCCCCUGGCCAAACCAUAGUCGUCCCCUCCCCAACCCCCACCCAGGGCCCACUUUACCUCUGCUUGCCCCUCUGUCUGUCAGCUAAACCCACUCCACUGAGGCCUUAAUGCAGAACCAGAUGUGCUGGCUGAGUCCUGAAACAUUCUCUUCCCACUGACAUCUUAACCUGAAAGGUGUGUGUGUGUCUGUGUGUGUGUGUGCGUGUGUGGGAGAGAGAGGUCAAACUUUAGCCUGGCCUCUAAGUGAGUGUAGAUUACUUUUGAAGGUUGUGUUUAUUGCUUCAGCACUGAUUGUGUAUUUUGUUGUAUGUUUUUAUCCUGUACAAGAAGAACCACAAAAAGUUUAGAUUUUUUAGUUUUUAUUCCAUUUAGUUUUAAUAAGGCAUUACAAUCCUAAUCACAAAGCAAAUGUCUCUGAUAUUCAUUAUUUUGAUCAUAAUGGGAUGUGCAUGUUUUGACCGCAUUUCUUACGCGUUGUGUUUGGGUGAGCUGUAGCUGUAUUGGUUUUAUAAUCAAAGUCACAUUUGAGUCAUGCAUCUCGGUUCACCCUUUCACCCACAAUUCAUCAUCUCAUUCCGACCGAUAUACGAUAUCUAAUUUAUCAACACAUGCCCAAUCUAAGCAGCCCCACACAUGUGCGAGCAAUUAGGCUAUAGAACAGUUGCUAACACAAACACCUUCUGAUAGAUGACACUCUAAAUGUAAGGCCAAACCAUGGCAAACAUG